GGAGGAAGGUGGGGAGUGACGUCAAGUCAUCAUGGCCUUUAUGUCUAGGGCUACACACGUACUACAAUGGCAGGUACAAAGGGCAGCGACACAGCGAUGUGAUGCGAAUCCCGAAAAGCCUGUCUCAGUCCGGAUCGGAGUCUGCAACUCGACUCCGUGAAGUUGGAAUCGCUAGUAAUCGUGGAUCAGCAUGCCACGGUGAAUACGUUCCCGGGCCUU
rnacentral:rRNA from 1 species